rnacentral:rRNA from 1 species
UACAGAGGGUGCAAGCGUUAAUCGGAAUUACUGGGUGUAAGGGUGCGUAGGUGGUUGAUUAAGUUAUCUGUGAAAUCCCUGGGCUUAACCUGGGCAGGUCAGAUGAUACUGAUUGACUCGAGUAUGGGAGAGGGUAGUGGAAUUUCCGGUGUAGCGGUGAAAUGCGUAGAGAUCGGAAGGAACACCAGUGGCGAAGGCGGCUACCUGGGCUGAUACUGACACUGAGGCGCGAAAGCGUGGGGAGCAAACAGG